AUUUCCCAUAAUAGUAUAGUAUAUUUGAAUAUGUGUAGAUUGUUUUAUUUGCAAUUUCAAAAGAGUAAGACUAGGCACUGUACCCAAUUUUUGGUUUCACAAUUAUUUAAUAGUUGCAAAAUGGCUGAGGCAGACUCACAUAUGCAACUAAACAAUUGGAUAAUCGAGGAAUGUGCAAACAUUGUUUUAUUUUGCUUUUGCUAUUAUGGAUUUCAAAGAUGUAGCUUGUAUUUGUGUUCUUGAGAUUAGAAGAAAAAAUUGCUAGAAAAAAACCAUCCUGAAUAUACUCAAUUUUAAACCAACAUUUAUUAAAAG
rnacentral:lncRNA from 1 species